ACAGCAGUGAAACUUGACUAAGUUAAGUAGCUCACAGAGAGCCUAAACCACUCCUACGAGGAUUCUGUGUUGCUGCAUUUGUCAGGAGACCUGUAAAUCAAUAAGAACAAAUGAGCUGCAAUGGCCCACAGCUACAAGCAACAGCAUAAAGUGCUGAUGGACUGUGUGUUCAGUGUUUCAUAAUGUGCUUCUCUACCAUACUGGUCCCAGGAUGAAGAGAGAACUCAGUAGUCCUGCUGAUUCUCCUGAGACCAUUGUAACUGGCUUAUUUCCCAGACAUCUCUGUAAAGGAUAUUUGGCUCAUAGAAAAUAUAACAUAUAGUGUCCUAAAGUGAAAAGUGAGGCAGAACACUUCUGUCUGGUUCUACGUGUCAAAAGCGUGCACAGCGAGAAGUAGAGCAGAAUACCUGACUUCUGAUGAAUUGGAUUGGUAGAAGUUUGGACAGCCCCAAACCCUAGAGGUUCCCAGAACUAUUAGUCCCUAGGCAGCUAACUUGCAAAAUGACAUUCAGACU